rnacentral:rRNA from 1 species
GGCUAACGCUGGCGGCGUGUCUUAGCCAUGCAAGUCGAGCGGACUUAUGGGGUAACUUAUAAGUCAGCGGCGGACGGCGGAGUAACACGUAGCUAACCUACCCUCUGGACGGGGAUAACCUACCGAAAGGUGGGCUAAUACCCGAUGUAGUCAUCCUGUAUAGGGGUGAUGAAAGGUGGGCUUCUGUUUACAAGCUCAUGCUGGAGGAGGGGGCUGCGGCCUAUCAGGUAGUUGGUAGGGUAAUAGCCCACCAAGCCGAUGACGGGUAGCCGGCCUGAGAGGGUGACCGGCCCGAGGGGCACUGAGAUACGGGUCCCACUCCUACGGGAGGCAGCAGGCUAGAAAUUUGGGCAAUGGGGGAAACCCUGACCCAGUGACGCCGCGUGCAGGAAGGAGCCCUUCGGGGUGUAAACUGCUGUCGUGUAGGGAGAAGGGUACUAAGGUGAACAAUCUUAGUACUUGACGGUACUACAGGAGGAAGCCCAGGCUAACCUCGUG